rnacentral:misc_RNA from 1 species
GAUGAAGAACGUAGCGAAAUGCGACAAGUAAUGUGAAUUGCAGAAUUCAGUGAAUCAUCGAAUCUUUGAACGCAUAUUGCGCUCUUUGGUAUUCCGAAGAGCAUGCUUGUUUGAGUAUCAGUAAACACCUCAACCUCUUCUUGAUUUUUCAAAAGGAGGGUGGACUUGAGCUAUCCCAACAACCUUUACCGGUCGGCGGGCGGCUUGAAAUGCAGGUGCAGCUGGACUUUUAUCUGAGCUAAAAGCAUAUCUAUUUAGUCCUCGUCAAACAGGAUUAUUACUUUUGCUGCAGCUAACAUAAAGGAUAAUUGUCCUCUUUGCUGACUGAUGCAGGAUUUUACGACACUUUAUGUGUUGUUCAACUCGAUCUCAAAUCAAGUAAGACUACCCGCUGAACUUAAGCAUAUCAAUAAGCGGAGGA